CUAAUAGGGAACGUGAGCUGGGUUUAGACCGUCGUGAGACAGGUUAGUUUUACCCUACUGAUGGACUUGUUGCAAUAGUAAUUGAACUUAGUACGAGAGGAACAGUUCAUUCGGAUAAUUGGUGUUUGCUGCUGUCUGAUCAGGCAAUGCAGCGAAGCUACCAUCCGCUGGAUUAUGGCUGAACGCCUCUAAGUCAGAACCCAUGCUAGAAGUGAUGAAUUAGGGGGUAGGAUGGAUAUGAAUAAGUAUCGCAGUACCGGAGGGGGAGUUUGGGUGGAUAAGGAAAUUGUCUGCUCUUCCCUGAUUGUAAAGAUUUACCCUU
rnacentral:rRNA from 1 species